rnacentral:sRNA from 1 species
GAUGACGGGCAGGUCGUCCGGCGUGAAGGGCUCGUUCUUGGCGAAAUCGU